ACCAGCCAUGCCGCGUGGAGGAUGAAGGUCCUCUGGAUUGUAAACUUCUUUAUCUGGGACGAAAAAAGGGAAUUCUUUCUCGUCUGACGGUACCAGAUGAAUAAGCACCGGCUAACUCCGUGCCAGCAGCCGCGGUAAU
rnacentral:rRNA from 1 species